CACGUAGGAGGCGAGCGUUGUCCGGAAUCAUUGGGCGUAAAGAGGGCGCAGGCGGCUUGGCAAGUCGGGUGUGAAAUCCCGGGGCUCAACCCCGGGACUGCAUUCGAUACUGCCAGGCUAGAGGUAGGUAGGGGAGAUCGGAAUUCCUGGUGUAGCGGUGAAAUGCGCAGAUAUCAGGAGGAACACCGGUGGCGAAGGCGGAUCUCUGGGCCUUACCUGACGCUCAGGCGCGAAAGCUAGGGGAGCGAACAGG
rnacentral:rRNA from 1 species